AUUGAACGCUGGCGGCAGGCCUAACACAUGCAAGUCGAACGAGCGGCGGACGGGUGAGUAAUGUCUGGGAAACUGCCUGAUGGAGGGGGAUAACUACUGGAAACGGUAGCUAAUACCGCAUACCAUCAGAUGUGCCCAGAUGGGAUUAGCUAGUUGGUGGGGUAAUGGCUCACCAAGGCGACGAUCCCUAGCGUGUCUGAGAGGAUGACCAGCCACACUGGAGCUGAGACACGGUCCAGACUCCUACGGGAGGCAGCAGUGGGGAAUAUUGCACAAGGGGCGCAAGACUGAUGCAGCCAUGCCGCGUGUGUGAAGAAGGCCUUCGGGUUGUAAAGGACUUUCAGCGAGGAGGCGUUACCCGCAGAAGAAGCACCGGCUAACUCCGUGCCAGCAGCCGCGGUAAUAC
rnacentral:rRNA from 1 species